UGAUUUUUUUUUUAUUAAUUCAGUGUACAGCAGACGUGAUCCUAUCUCAUAAUGUAAUUUAAAAAUAGAAAAAAAAAUCAAUAUGGUAUCAUUUUACAUUAUUUGGUUUAAUUCUAAGCUGAACAGAAGUCAGAUUAACAGCUUAGAUUCACAAUAUUAGAAAAUAAAUCAUGCCAUGACUGUAAAGGGAUGCAGUUUUGUAUCACUGAGGAUUUAAAUACUAUUGCAGAGAUGUUUUCUCAUGACACAUUGUGAAAGGUUAGAAUAUGCAUUAAGAGAAUCUGUGAUAAACAGCUGUCAGAACACUGUGUACAUGACAGGUUAAAUAGAAACACUAUUGUGAUCUGUUAAAAUGUGUUAAAUACAUUCAUUCAUGACAUUGGGAUUAUAACAGAUGGAGUGAAGUUAAAAACAGAUCAAAUUAAAAGUUUCAGACUGGCUAAAGUGGGUUUAAAGAGUUAAAAGUGGUAAAUAAUUGUGUUAGAAGAGGUAAAAUGUUUCAAAGAGUAUUGCUGAAUUCACAUUGUGUGUUGUAUUGUUGAAGUUAUGUCGUGGUCAUAAGAUCUGUGCUCGACACAUGCGCCUCAAUCGGUUACUCUGAGAUCGAUUGCUUUUGUCUCCUUCCGCGACUGUGAGGGCACCAGGUGAACGGGUCUUCCUCAGAGCGGUAGACAGACAGUUUCACAGCAAUGUAGGAACGAAUUAUCAGAUAAAUAUCGUGGAAAUUAUUAUGAGAGUAAUAUAAAAAGGGCUAAUGUUCGAUAAACACUACAAAUCAUCUUUUUAAUGUGAUAUAAUUAGUGUAAGUAACCUUCUCUCCCCUCUCCUUUCCAUAGCAAUGGUACAUUCCACUACCAUUCAACUCCAUUGUGAGUUUUCUUCAUUACGUUAAAGUGCGUGUUGACAAAACUUCACACUGGAUGGCUGCUGUGUUUAUUUCUUCCUUUUUUAAACCAGAUUUCUGCAGUAACUAAAGGAAGAUAAAAACGUUCUGUAAAAUCCUAGAUAUUUUGGAGUUCUCCUUUGCUGUCUGAUCACGAAAUCAUAGUUUCAGCUGCUGGUUAUGUGCAUAAUCACAUAAUUAGAAACCUCUGUGUUGAUUAGUUGGGGGGAAAAAACCCCCAAAAUGAAUAGUUCCAGACAAUGUUUCAAGAUAAUUUAGUAAAACUUCAAAUAUGUGUCAAACAAAUAAAAUAACUCACGACAUUAAAACACAUUGAACAGCAAUAAAUAGAUGGAAAUAAAUUAUCUGAAAUACAGCAACACAGAGAU